CUAGUGAACUUAAUUAUAGUUGAACUUAAAGCUAAUGUGAUUAGUCACUACUAGGUUUAUCUUAUAUCUACACACUAAAUUAGGUAACCUAAACCUAUCAUUGAACACCAUACACUCUACUCCGUGAAACCCGUAGCCACUGGUAUCGGGCUUACAACUAAACACUUCGACGGCAUCACGCUAGACAACACCCGAAAUUAUACUAAAAGGAAACUAAACGUAAGUCACAAAAUUAUAAUCUACACUUACAACUAGGACUAAAAUUAGGUUGAGAACAUAAUGAUAAACAAUGUCAUGUACACUCUACCUACAUUCCAACC